UUCGGUGGCCAUAGCGGAGGGGAAACACCCGGUCCCAUCCCGAACCCGGAAGUGAAGCCCUCCAGCGCCGAUGGUACUGCCCGGGCAACUGGGUGGGAGAGUAGGUCGCCGCCGGGA
rfam:Actinobacteria bacterium RBG_19FT_COMBO_70_19 rbg_19ft_combo_scaffold_4429, whole genome shotgun sequence.